GUGGGUUUCCUCUGGGUGCUCCGGUUUCCUCCCACAGUCCAAAGACAAGCAGGUUAGGUGCACUGGUGAUCCUAAAUUGUCCCUAGUGUGUGCUUGGUGUGUGGGAUUUGUUCCUGCCUUGUGCCCUGUGCUGGCUGGGAUUGGCUCCAGCAGACCCCCGUGACCCUGUGUUAGGACAUAGCGGGUUGGACAAUGACUGAC